AUGAAGCGGAAGCCCCCGGACUGCCUCCCUGGACCGAGGCACACAGGAAGCGGGGCGCAGACAAGGGAGACGGACUGGACAGCAAGCAGAUGGUGUUUUUGCUGCAUCUUCCUGUUUUUAAAACAGCUGCGCUGUUCCUGUCAAAGGUGGGGAGGAGCAGAGCCAAGGCGGGAGGUGGGUGACACAUCGCCACGUUCCCCUCUCCCCCUCCCUUAUUCGUGGCACCCAGGCUGCUCCCGUAUCACGGCCCCUGUGCAGAAGUUGAAAUAUAGAAUACCACGAGGAAUAUUAUACAGCCACGAAAAAGGGGUCACGCAAUCACCUGCCGUGACGUGGGUAGAACUGAUGGGUGUGAUGUGCGGUGACAUAAGCCAGACACGGAAAGCCGGGAAUUCCAACUCCUUCCUCACACAUGGAGGCUAAAAAGGCCAAAGUGAGCAGAGAGUUACGACUACUAGAGGUUGGAGGGGCGCGCUGUGUGCGACGCGGGAUCGGAUCCGUGCACGCGGUAUACACGUGUGCAUGUGUGGCCCUGCACUGCGAUUUGUACGCCUCCGCUGACCCGGGCCUCCCUGGACGAAGGUGGAGGUGUCAGCGGGGCCCGUUUCUUGCAUCUUCCGGCCGUGAAGUGGGGGCUGAGGCAGGAGGAUCUCCUGGCGGCCUGGCACACAGCACAGGAGGCCUGGGGUGGAGAUGCCGGCACUGGGUGGGGAGUUGGCGGCUCUAGCUUGGGACCCUCCUGCCUCAGCCUCCAGAGGAGCUGGGAUCACAGGCAUCCACCUGUGCAGCCAGCCUUGUCAAGCUAUUUCUUCUCUGUUGUUUUGUUUUUGCAGCACCGGGUGGUUGAACCCAGGACCUGUGCGCCCAGCUCCACCCCAGCCCAUUUUUAAAAAACAAAUUUGAGACAGGGCCUUGCUAAAUGACUGAACUGCUCAGGCUGAACUGGCAGUAGCAACCUUCCUGCCUCAGCCUCCCGGAGUGCUGGCAGCACCAGGGUUCCUCCACAGAUCCCGUAGCUGCCUUUCUGUUGGGAUGCAGGUUUGACGCCGUGGGAUUCAUCAUGUAGCACAGGCUGGCCUUGGACUCACGGGGGAGAUCCCCCUGCCUCAGCCUCUCGAGUGCGUGCCGGGAGAAACCCUGCCUUCAAAACACAACACAAAACAAAACGCGAAGGCCGGUGUCUCCACGUCUUUUACCUCUUCCCCCACCCACAUCUGGACACGACUAGUCGGUGUUUGCACCGAAACCAGAGCGACGAUUUCACUUCCCGUUAGCCACGGGGCUGCGAGUGUGGACGUUUCGUUCCGCAACACGUUUUGUCAACAUUGACCGAAGGGACACAGCUGAGUUUCACACCUCGGGGGACGCUCGGGCCGCACGGUGGAGUACUACGCGGCCCCGAAGAAGGACGGGCCAGAGGCAUUUUUGGAAGACUCGAAGCACCCCGAGACGGUGAGGCCGAGGGACGGAAACCAGGCACAGGAGCGUCAGCGUCUCAUGGUUUCUCUUCUGUGAGAAUCGCAGAGUGUGAAACAGAAGAGCAAAAUGAAAGGUGGAUCACGGGACGGAGGGAGAGAGGCCGUUCUCAGAGGGCGGGGACCGCGAGACGGAGCGGGGGAGCGGGAAGGGCGGAGAAAGAGUGAGGCCGGUGCGCGCGGACCCGCGUUUCCCUCCGCGCACGGAGUGAGCGGCUGGGUUCGCGGCUGGGUUCGCGGCUAAAAGGAAAUCGAAUCGGAGGUCAGUGUGUCAGCGGCUGGUGUCCUGUGGGCUUUUGUGUCAGAGUUUUCUACGGAAGCAGCGGGGAGAGGGAGAGACUGGAAGAGGCCGGUGACGGUCACACGGGGCAGAGAUGGACGGGCACAGUCACAGAUCAUGGAGAGAGAGAAUGUCAGAGCUGGGUGGACGCGUGGCUGACGGGUGCAUGUGGUAGAAGCGACAGACACGACCGUGUCACGGGUGAACCGACAGGCAGAGCGCGGAGGUGUAGUUCACAGCGACACAGGCGGACGGACGCGCGGCACACGGCACAGACGCGUCCCGGAGGCAGCCCUG
rnacentral:lncRNA from 1 species